rnacentral:lncRNA from 1 species
AUGAUGAGGAUACAACAGACUUACCGAGAUCAACUCCACGGUCCCCUGGAUUCAGUAACAGUAACAGGGAGGCUCCGUGUCCCACGGACGAAACCGGGAGGUCGAAGCAGCCACUUCGGGACAAAACCCUCAAAACUUGGCACCUUCGGCCGGGCGUGGGGGCUCCAGCCUGGAAUCCCACCACGUCGGGAGGCCGAGGAGGGCGGAUCACGAGGCCUGGAGUUCGAGACCAGCCUGACCAAUGUGGUGAAACCGCAUCUCCACGAAAAAUACAGAAAUGAGCCGGGCUGGUGGGGCCCGUGGUCCCGGACACUCAGGAGGCUGAGGCCGGAGAAUCGCUUGAACCCGGGAGGCGGAGGUUACAGGGGGCUGAGGUUGAACCACUGCACUCAACACCCACACAGACUCACACACACACACACACAUCACACCCCACACACCCUCACACAAACCCACAUAUCACAUACCACACACAGGCAACACACCUCACACACAUCAGACACGCAACACACCCCACACUCACACACCCCACACACAGCCCCUCACACACACACACACAUCACACCCACACAAUCACACCCCACACACACCCUCACACAAACCCACAUAUCACAUACCACACACAGGCAACACACCCCACACACAUCAGACAUACAACACACCCCACACACACACACCCCACACAGCCCCUCACACACACACACACAUCACACACCCGACGCCCACACAUCACACACCCAACAUAGCCCACACACCCCCAUGCCCCACAGCCCCACACAUCACACACACCCUCACACCCACACACAAACCCACAUACACAUCACAUACCACACACAGGCAACACACCCCACACACAUCAGACAUACAACACACCCCACACAGCCCCUCACACACACAUCACACCCCACACACACGCAACACACCCCACACAGCCCCUCACACACACAUCACACCCCACACACCCUCACACAAACCCACAUAUCACAUACCACACACAGGCAACACACCCCACACACAUCAGACAUACAACACACCCCACACACAUCACACCCCACACACACGCAACACACCCCACACACACCCCCAUGCCCCACAGCCCCACACAUCACACCCUCACACCCACACACAAACCCAUAUACACAUCACAUACCACACACAGGCAACACACCCCACACACAUCAGACACACAACACACCCCACACACACACACCCCACACAGCCCCUCACACACACAUCACACACACGCAACACACCCCACACACACACCCCACAGCCCCUCACACACACAUCACACACCCCAUACACAGCCCACACAGCCCCUCACACACACACCCCCACACACAUCACACACACGCAACACACCCCACACACCCGCAUGCCCCACAGCCCCACACAUCACACCCACACACACAUCACAUACCACACACAGGCAACACACCCCACACCCUCACACACACCCCACACAGCACCUCAUACACACAUCACACACCCCACACCCUCACACCCACACACCCCACACAGCCCCUCACACACACACACCCACACACAUCACACCCCACACACACCCUCACACAAACCCACAUAUCACAUACCACACACAGGCAACACACCCCACACACAUCCCCUCACACAUCACACACCCCAUACACAGCCCACACCCUCACACCCACACACAGCCCCACACACACACAUGCAACACACCCCACACACACCCCCAUACCCCACAGCCCCACACAUCACACACACCCUCACACCCACACACACAUCACACCCCACACACACCCUCACACAAACCCACGUAUCACAUACCACACACAGGCAACACACCCCACACACAUCAGACACGCAACACACCCCACACACACACACCCCACACAGCCCCUCACACACACAUCACACACCCCAUACACAGCCCACACCCUGACACCCCACACAGCCCCUCACACACACCCCCACACACAUCACACCCCACACACCCUCACACAAACCCACAUAUCACAUACCACACACAGGCAACACACCCCACACACAUCAGACAUACAACACACCCCACACACACACACCCCACACAGCCCCUCACACACACACACAUCACACACCACACACACGCAACACACCCCACACAGCCCCUCACACACACAUCACACACCCCAUACACAGACCACACCCUCACACCCCACACACAGCCCCUCACACACACACCCCCACACACAUCACACACACACAGGCAACACCCCCCCCACACACACACCCCACACAGCCCCUCACACAUCACACACCCCAUACACAGCCCACACCCUCACACCCACACACAGCCCCUCACACCCACACACAUCACACACACACACAUCACACACACACACAACACACCCCACACACCCCCAUGCCCCACAGCCCCACACAUCACACCCACACACAAACCCACAUACACAUCACAUACCACACACAGGCAACACACCCCACACACACACACCCCACACACAGCACCUCAUACAUCACACACCCCAUACACAGCCCACACCCUCACACCCACACACCCCACACAGCCCCACACACACCCACACACAUCACACACCACACACACACCCGACGCCCACACAUCACACACCCAACAUACCCCACACACCCCCAUGCCCCACAGCCCCACACAUCACACACACCCUCACACCCACACACAAACCCACAUACACAUCACAUACCACACACAGGCAACACACCCCACACACACACACCCCACACAAAGCCCCAGACACACUAAACACACCCCACAUAUACCCCCACGCCCCCCACAGCCCCUGA